rnacentral:rRNA from 1 species
GACGAACGCUGGCGGCGUGCUUAACACAUGCAAGUCGAACGGAAAGGCCCUGCUUUUGUGGGGUGCUCGAGUGGCGAACGGGUGAGUAACACGUGAGUAACCUGCCCUUGACUUUGGGAUAACUUCAGGAAACUGGGGCUAAUACCGGAUAGGAGCUCCUGCUGCAUGGUGGGGGUUGGAAAGUUUCGGCGGUUGGGGAUGGACUCGCGGCUUAUCAGCUUGUUGGUGGGGUAGUGGCUUACCAAGGCUUUGACGGGUAGCCGGCCUGAGAGGGUGACCGGCCAGAUUGGGAAUGAGAUACGGCCGAGACUCCUACGGGAGGCAGCAGUGGGGAAUAGUGCACCAUGGGCGGAAUCCUGAUGCAGCAACGCCGCGUGCGGGAUGACGGCCGUCGGGUUGUAAACCGCUUUCGCCUGUGACGAAGCGUGAGUGACGGUAAUGGGUAAAGAAGCACCGGCUAACUACGUG